rnacentral:lncRNA from 1 species
CCGGUUGAUGUCAACCCUUCAAAUAGUUGGGUGCAAAGAUCAGGGAACAAUAGGGGUUUAGUUUUCAAUGACAACACGAACUUGUUCAACUGUUUACAAUUUUUAUAAAUAUUAGUAUAUGUUAUAAAAAUAAUCAUAAUAGUAUUGAUUAAAAAAAUAAAUUUAAUCAAAUAGUAUAUGUUAUAAAAAUAAUCAUAAUAGUAUUGAUUAAAAAAAUAUUACCUUCCCCUCUUCUUUCCAUUGUUCAUCGGUCAAAUUAAAUUUAUUUUUUAUAGGAUCAUAUAUAUUGCCGGUUUUGUUUUUGAGUUUCACCCAAGCAACAUACUUUGAUUUGUAGUAGUCAAAGUGGUUUCUCAUUUGCUUCUGAUCAACCUCUUUACCGUGUUCGUUUAUCAAUUUUUCGCGUAUUGUCUUCCAUGAACUUGCCUUAAGCCCAGAACCCUCACGACCAUUAGUGGUUAGUUCAUGGAUACAUGCAUCAAGAAAAGUUUUGUCCUCACUCUCGUUCCAAACCAACAUCCUAAAACAUUAAUAUUUAAAGUAAUUUAUCAUAGUUUUUAUCAAGUUAAAGAACAAUUUUAAACAUAAAGCAAUUUUCAACCAAGGAAGUUAACAUCAUCCUAAAUUAUGAUUUGAUAACUUAUACACAAACAAUUUCAGAUGUCACAAAACAUCAAUAUUCAAGCUAACAAUUUCACAAAAGAUAACAAGCUAACAAUUAAGGUCAACAAUAUCAAAGCUAUAAAAUUAGAAAGAAAAAAAAAACAGCCCAAUUUUUGAUUUUAUAGCUUAUACUUUUGAUACUAAUACAAGCUCAAUAAUUGGAAGACAUGUGAUGUUGCAUGCAUUCCCCCUCUCGCCCACUCUUCAAGGAACAAUUGGAUUAUUAAAAAAGUUAGGUUACCAUUAAUCUUAUAAUAAUUAUUUAUUAUUAAUUUUACUUUUGUACUUUACACAUAAAAACACAACNAAAACCAAAAAAAUAAAAAAAAAAAAAAAAAAAAAAAAACAGCCCAAUUUUUGAUUUACAAACCUACUUGUAUUUUCCAAUUCACAUUCAAUUUCAAUUCACAAGCUAUAAAAUCAAAAUUCAAAAAAAAAACCUUCCAAUUCACUUUCAAUUUCAAUUCAUAAGCUAUAAAAUAUGAACCGGAGAAAAAAACUUCCAAUGUGAAUUGGAGAAAAAAACUUCAAAUUCAGAAAAAAAAACAAAAAAACAAAAACAAAAAACAACUACCAAUUCACAUUCUAUUUUAGAAUUCAUAACAUUAGAAAAAAAAACCUUCAAUUUUCAGUUCUUAUACACAAAGAACUACAAAACAAAACAUAAACAAACUUCCAAUUCACAUAUAAUUUCGAAAUUCAUAUAUUAGAACAAACAAUUUCAGAUUUCAGUUCUUGUACACAAAGAACUACAAAAAAGAACAAAAAAAGCUUAUCAUAUGAACAUACAGGUUGAGAAUUCAUAAUAUUCUAACAUAUACUAAUUUGAUUUCAUAAAGAACUACAAAUUUCAUACCAUCAAAGCAUAAAUGGUAUCUGAUUUUGAAAAUUAUUAACAGAAAAAUUAUCUAACCUGUGUGAUGGAUCGAGAAGGCGUCACUGAUGGCGGUGGCGGAGGUCCGACGAGAUGGCACAGGUCCGACUGGUCGGACUGUUUGGCGUUCAAUGUUGUGGAGUUCUUCCUAGCGGCUGCUGUGCUUUUAGGUCACUAGAAGGGAAGCGAAUGGGGAAAGAAAUAAUAACGACGCAGGGGCAAGAUAAGGGCAAGAUUGUCUAAUUUCCAGUCAGCAACUGUUUAAAAACUGAUCCAGAAAGCGAUUUGGGUCAGCAGAUCUUACCGAGAAAGCUCAAAUCAAACACCAAAGGUCUGACCGAGUCAGCCCAAUUUGCUGACUCGACCCAGUCAGACAUUUAUCAAACACUCCCUUAGAAGUGCACUCUUUAAUAGACCUUGACUGCACACAUCUAUGCUCAUGAACCAAAGUUUUCACCAUCCAAUCGCUUUCUUCAUCAGAUCUAGAAAUUAAUACCACCCAAGGGCAUGUUGCUUUUUGUGAGCUGACUGUUUUAUCCUUGCAUUUGAUUCUACUUUUUGUCCAUGGCCCACCUGUCAUUUUCGGGACCACACCCCUGCAUUUUGCCCUAAUUCUUUUUUUUUUAUCAUUUUUUGAAAAGUAAAUGUUUCUCCUAGUUCGAAUUGAAUGCAUUUUAAUGUAGUCCUUCACUUCUGAUGAGGACUUAAAUAUUUGACCCAGAUGGAAUGCAGUUUCAUGUACUACUCCUGAUGAACAUGUGGUUGGUUUGUUUAACCUUCUCAUUAAUUUCUUCCUCUCAUCUUCUUCUACACCAGUUGAUUCAAAUAAUUGUGUAUCUAUCACCUCCAAAUCCUCAUCAACUGUGACAUCAGGUGCAUUGAAUGAUUGGUGGUUAUCUAGAUUUGGAAAAGAAUAAACACCACUGUGGAAGUCUUUCAUAUUCACUUCGACAUCCUCCACCAUAUUAAGUUCAUCCACUAAAAAGUCACUAUCGUCGCUUAUACUUCCAUCGGUACUAGUCUCAUCACUAAUAACAUCUCCAAUUUCUUCAUUUUCCCCCAUCUGUUGGUAAUCAUUAUGAUCCAUAUAAAAGAAAGGAUCAAAGUCUUCUGAAGGGACAACAUCUUGGGCUUUGUUAAGCUCCUCACUUGCAGGAUGAACUCGAACAUCUUUCACUACAUCUCUAUCAAAAUGUCCAAAAGGUACAACAGACCUAGAAAAGUCAUAGUUCUCAUUCAAGUCCAUUUUUCUACUACAUGAUCCUACCUUUGUACUUGUAAACUUUUUUCGAUUGAGUUCCGGAGAAAUAGGCUCAUUGAUUUCUUCCGAUACGACCUUAUUUGGAGAUAUAAAGUAUGCAUGGAGUCUAGUAGUUCCAUGUUCAGUAUACACCAUAAUCUCUUUAUGAUUAGCAACAUGCUUACUUAACAAAAGUACGUCUGAGUUGUUACCUAAAGGAAGUAACCCAUAAUCGAUUUCAAUCUCAGGAAUCAAGAAGUGGUAGUAGAUAGGCUCACCGUUGAUAUAACCUAUCUCCUUCAUCAUAUCGUCUAACUCAUGUACGGAAAACACGUCCAUGUCUACGUAGUCAACAUAGUCAAUACUCCCACCAACGUAACGUCUUCCUGGGUAUUUUGUGAACAUACCCCCAUGGUGAAUCUUGAAUGUGCAAAAACUACUUAACUCAACUGAAAAACAAAUAAAUAAUGAUAUGAGGAAAGAAUGAAGUCUCAAAAUUGAAUGUGCAUAAAUUACUUAACAAAAUUGAAAGUUGUUAACUGAUCACUCACCAUAAGCUUUGAUCAGGUCAGGAUUUUCUGAGAAUUUUGAACGGACAUUCCACAAAGUUAGAACGAUCGCAAAAGAUGAAAAUGAAAACCCUAGUUUCCGUUUGAUGUUUUGAAGUGAUGAAGAUGAAAAACCAGAGGAGAAAAGAAAGGGAUGAUUUCUUGGGGUAAUGUAAAUGGCAGCUAGAUGUAAGGAUCAUUUAUGAAUAUGAUCAUUUCGUGUAACAAAGCAAAAGACCAAAAUACCCUCGUGUGAGGGUCACGUGAUUUAGAUAAACGGAAACAAUUAAACGGAGUAUGUCAUAAGGACUAUUCGUGCAACAAUUUGGAACCAUAGGGACCAUACUCGUCCAAAAUUCCUCAUAAGGACUAUCUUUGGUCUCUUGUGCCAACCACAGGGACCAUCUGUGUAAUUUUGUCUUUUUUUAAAGAUAGUUCAUAAUUUUUCUAUUAUAUACAUUGUAAAUGAAAUUGAGAACUUAAGUAGGUCCUAGGACCUACCUAAGCACAUGGUGGAUACGCCCCUGUUACCCACACUAACCUCAUACACUUACAACACAAAUGAACUUGAACGGUCUAAGACCAAACCAAGAUAUAAUAUGAAAUGUGUAAGUAUAGUUUAAUAGAUGAAAGUGAGGUGUUGUUUGGGCUUGAAAAGUAGGGGUGAGCAUGGUGCGAUUUUUUGAGAAAACCGAACCGCAAACCGCAAGAUGCGGUUUCUAUAGGGUAAAACCGAUAGGUGUGGUUUUUGUUUCGGCGUGGUUUUACAUGCAUUUUCGGUGUCAUUCGAUGCGGUUUCGGUUUUUAACUGAAAAUAUGUGUUGGUGUGAUUUUUCAUACAUGUGUUGAUCUACCAAAGAAGUAAUAACCCCUAAAGAAGCUAGAGCAAGGCCUAAUUGAAAAUGAAGCCAAUUAUUAAUUGUGUCAUAAAGACCCUCAUGCCCACGUCUCAAUCGCCCUCUUGGAGGGAUAUGUGCAUCUAAAAGAUCUUUCAUACUGUGCCCAAUCCCAAAAUUAGUUCUAUACAUAUGCCCAACAAUAAGAAAAAGAAAUGCAAUAGCUAAAUAAUGAUGAGUCAUAUCAGCAUGUCCAAACCCGACUUUUCAGUUAACUUUCCUUUAUUUCCGGUACAGAUUCUCAUUUAAAUGUAUUUAACAUGCUUGUGAAAUAGUUAUAUGUUAUUCUUAUCAAAAUAUAGACUUCUUUAUGAUAUUACGAUUUUGAGAUUUGAAUUAUAUGUUUGAUGCAACAAGGGAUUUGGUUUUAUAAUCUCAAAUUCCAUUACUUAAUCAUUAUUGUUUAUACAGAUAGAGGCGGCUUUUGAUUCGAAUUGCAUUUUGCUUGUGAUAAGCAAAAGGAAAAUUGUUAAUGGUACGCACUUUGAUACAAAUGUCAAAUUUUAUAAAAAUAUAGCAAAACAUAAGGCAUGCACAGUGGCAAAAAGAACUGAAGAGGUCGAAGUUGAACAAAAUAUACUUUUAUUAAUAAGUAUUAUAAUAUAUUAAAUAUUGUCAGGUUUUUAUGGUGCUGUUUGGCAUUGUCCAAACCGCACCACACCGAAAAAUUACCAAUUAAGGUUGGAUUGGAAUGCAUAAUUAUCAAUUUAUCCUUAAUAAGUCAUAAAUCAACAAAAAUGGCCCAACAAUUUUCUUAAUCUUAAUUGUUGCCUUUGGAUUAGAAAUCAUCAACGAUCAAGAUUGGUUCUCACAAUUCUCUAAUCUCUACUUUUAUGUUGUUUUCAUUUGAACUCAACCCAAAAAUCUCACCAGUAAUCACCACACGAACAAAUCCCGUUCUUGAAAUGAUGAAACCUAUUUGUAUCCCGAAGAAUAAUUUCCCGCUCAACAAUCUUGGAAAUAAGCUUAGCAGCAAUAUGACAAUCCUCACAAACACGUAGAUUUUUAGUAAUCCGUAUAGGCGUAAAAGCUUUAGUAUUUAUAAUCACAAACACAAUAGCAAGCUUCUCACUAUGAACAGCAAGAUGAUUUCCUUUAUCUUCAUCUUCUAUAUCAUGAAGUGCAGAAUCCACUUCAGGAACAUACCCAAAAUCCCUCAUCUUCCCCACAAGUACUUCCAACUCUUGAUAAAUCUGUUUAGAUUGUGGAUGGGAUUGAUCUCCAGCAAGAAACGAAUGAACUUGAUUAUUAAGCUCAACAUUACUAACACCGGGCUCUUUUUUCACUCCUUUUGAUUUCAUUAUUGAACGAAUAUUUGUCACAUCUUUAAAUCUACCUGCUUUUGCGUAUAUAUUUGAUAAUAAAACAUAAUACCCUGCUUGUUCAGGGACCAAUUCAAAGAGAUGAUCUGCUGCUACAAGACCAAUUUCCAUGUUGGAAUGAACUUUACAAGCACUUAACAAAGCACCCCAGAUUCUAUCGUUUGGUUUUGUUUUCAUUUUCUUUAUAAAAUCAUAAGCUUCAUUGAUUCUUCCUGAUCUUCCUAGCAAAUCAACCAUGCACGCCAAGUGUUCGAGUCUUGGAAUGAUGUUAUACUCUUCGGUCAUCAAUUUGAAGAAAUGUUUUCCUUGGUUUAGUAAUCCGGCAUGGCUGCAGGCUGAUAGAACUGGAACGAAGGAAAUGGAAUCAGGGGCGAUUCCGGAAUUUUGCAUAUUUGAAAAGACUGUGAUAGCAGUUUCACCAUCUCCAGUCAUGCCAUAAGCAGAGACCAUGGAAGUCCAGGAGACGACAUCUCUUGUUGGCAUUUCAUCGAACACCUUGCGUGCUUCGUUUAAAGACCCACAUUUAGCAUACAUGUCAAUCAAGGCGUUCUCUACUGUUAGAUUAGGAAGAAGCCUUUUUGUUUUUACAUAUGAAUGAAUCUUUCUUCCUAGUAAUAAAGCUGAAAGAUCUCCACAAGCGGGUAGGAUGCUAGCAACUGUGAUUGAAUCCGGGUCGAUUCCGUAAUUCUCCAUUUGUUGAUAAAGAUUAACUGCAUCUUUAGGCAUCGAGUUGUUGACGUACACAGCUAUCAUGACAUUCCAAGAAAUUAAACUCUCUCGAGCGUGAUUCAUGAACAUUUCUUUCAUAAACAUCACGUUGGUAGAUGAAGUAGAAGUUGUUAAAGCAGGGGAAAGGCUGGCCAUGGUGCCUGCGUUGGGUUUUGAGGUAGAACAUUGCAUCAUUGUCUUACAAAUCUCCAAUGCAUCUUCAAACAUCCGGUUUUGGGCGUAGGCAGCAACCAUAGCAUUCCAGGAGACGAUAUCUCUACUAGGCAUUUCAUCAAACACCUGGCGUCCUUCCAGUAACCGGUUACAUUUUCCAUACAUUGUAAUCAAUCCAUUCCCUACAUAAAGAUUUGAAUGCAGACCCUUCUUGAGAACAGCAACAUGGGUUUGUAAUCCGACCCACAAAUUCUCAGACACGGAACAUGCUUUUAGAACUUGAGGAACUGUAAAAUGAUCAGGGUUAAUGUUGAACUUGAACAUGUUUCUGUACAUACGAAGUGCUUUUUCGUAGAAUUCAUUGUUUACGUAGCUUCUAAUCAUCACAUUGAAGAAGACUACAUCUUUUUGAGGAAAUUCAUCAAACAGUUGGCGGGUAACUGCGAUUUGGCGACAUUCAGAAUAAGCUUUCAUUAAUUUCAGAGCAAUAUGCGAUGCUGAGACGAGGUUUCCAUCAAUAAUUAACCUACAAUGUAUCUUUUUCAAUUGUUUGAUAUCUGGGCACUUGUCCAAGAUUUUGAUACACAAGUCUUCUGUGAUUAACAUGAUUGUUAAGGCGAGAUUUGAAUGAAUUUGAACUUAUAUUCCUUUCGCCAUGUUGUACCUGAGGGGCAAUCAAAUAGAAUGGACGAAGAUAACGAAGGUUUACUUGGUGGUGUUCACUUAAAAACAAGAAAUAUGAAGUUCUAAACGCUAUUUCUUGUUAAACAGAAAAUAUUUUGUCCAAUCUAAAAAUCCAAUUUUUGAGUAAGUUCAAGCUUAAGCUCAAAAAUAGUAAGCAAAACAUGUUUAAAAAAUAAAAGUUCGUUUGAAACUCUUUGGAUAGCUCGAGUAUAACAAUCAUCAUAAUUAUAGUCAAUAAAUCAGGCUCAAACAACCAAACUUGAUGUCCAGCCCUUGAUCAUCCAAUUGCCAACUGAAAUCAACUUAGUUUCCGGUUUUAGAAUCGCCCUAACAUUACAUAAGCACCAACUAGUUCCAAAAGUAGUUUUUAAUUCAAUGUCUCCCAUACCCGUGACUUCAAGGGUUUCCAUGUUACCCAACCUUACCAACUUAAGAUAAGUUCUUUACUUCAAUUACUAUAACAGAUCGAUGAGUCAUGUUCUAAUGACCUCUCGUCAUAUGAUGCAAUGCUUAGACUCGAGUCUUUUAAAGUCAAAUUCUAUAAUGAAAUAUACAUUCCUUCAAGUUUCUAAUGUGAUAUAAUCACAUUCUAGCAUGUAUCACUUCUAGCUACAAGCUUCUUACUUUAACAACAAUCACAAUACUUCUAUUGAUCGCUUUGAUUAUCUUUCAGUUCAAUCUUCUGGCUUAAGUCAGAUGCUACAUCGAUCUUGGUUCUCUGAACCACGUACAAUACUUAUCCUAGCUGUAAUCGAUUUGAUAUGACCACUAGGGUCGGAAUAACAAUCAUCUUCUUAGUCAUUACCGAAAUUAUGGUAAUGACACAUGAACAAAACAGAAUCAAUUACUAGCGUCUUGGUAACUCGUGACUUUCCCUGAUCCAAGUGCGAGUCGUGUGCUUCCAGUAGUAUAUGCCUCUACUACCUUUCACACCUACUCAUACUUGUCCCAAGUAUUGUCUUUCAGUUCUCCAAGUCACCAUAAAAGAAUUUCACAUAGUCAUUUAACACAUCGAAUAACAAAACUAAGGUUUAUAUUAUUUCUUGAAACGAUUACAUAGAUAUUCAAGUUCACCUUAUACCAUGCCUUUUAUAUUAGGCUACACCACAUGAUACUAUCUAUAUGGCUACUUUAUAUCUCGAUCUUCAGAUAUAUAUAGAUCCCUACUCCUAAUCCCUUGUAUCGUCACCUGCUUCAUCCAGGUUAGACUUCGAGAAUCUUCCUUUCUUAUCGAAUCUUGAGGAUCCCUCAAGCUUCUUCUUUUCUCAUGCCUUGUCUUAUUCCAGACCCUUUUUCCUAAAUUAGGUUUCCAUAUUCUUGGUUGCUCUAACGGUUGUCUUCAAAGUAGUUGCCAUUUUUACCAUUGCGCCAAAUUAUGCUGGCAAUCCGUUAGCAAAACUAUCUAUCUUGGAGAGUUCAGUAGCACCAAGUAGGGGAAUAACUUCAUCUGCUCGGUGAAUACGGUGACAUACUCAUCAACACUCAUCUUCCUUUUCUUCAAGUUCGAAACUCGUUGUUUAGGUCUAUCAGAUCUAUCUCUGAGCAGUAUUGCAUUUUCAACUGCUCCAUGAAUGCUUCCCACCUCAGGGCUUCUCCCCCAUGGCUUUGUAUCUGCCAAUAACUUCCACCAACUUAAAACUCUGGUCUUUAGUUGUCUGACUGUAAAGACGGUUUUCUGCUUGUUGCUGCAAUUGCAACUUUCAAAUGUCAUCUCUAUCUCGGAGAUCCAAUCCAUGAUCUCUACUGGCUUCGGGCUUCCAGAAAGACUUGGUGGUUUGGCACCUAAGAAGUUCUUAUACAUACGUUCAUCCUUAUCAAUCGCUUUUUUCGGGUCGUUCCUCCUUGCCACUCGGGGUUCAGCUUGACUCACUGUACGACUGUAAUUUCCCUCCUCCGACAAUUCUUCAUUCAGUUCGGGUUGCACGAUAGGCACAAUAGGUUCAUCCCUAUUAUCAAGAAACAUUUUUCUCAUCUCCUCCCUUUGUUCGGCCAUCAUAGCCCAAAUCAUUGCUUAGACUCUUGCCAUCGUGAUUGGCUCGGGUGCAGCUACUACCUCUGGUGCACAUUUAAUCACUCGUGGUUCAGGCUGUUAGUUUUCAUUAGCAUUUUCUAAUAUGUUGCGAGUUCUCACCAUUUCGAUCUAUACACUCUAGAGAUGUUCAGUGUACAGUGACGAGAAUUAAGAUAUGGAAAGCUUUAUUUACGACAGCCAUAUAAAUCUUCUUAUCACUCGUAAAAGUUAUAUACUAGUUCUAAUACCGUAAUUAAAUGUUUGGAAAUUUUGAGCAAAUGACGGUUCAUCAACAAUAGAGCGAAUCUCAUUUAGGAAUUCGUUGAUAGGUCGAUUUCCUUUAGGAUUUUUAGCAAGUUUGGAUUUUAAAGAGAUGAUUCUUGAGCAGGAGGUGCUGGCAUAGCUUGUGUUGAGAUGCUUUCAUGCUUCUUUUGUGGUAAAUACAGAGGUAAUGAUAGGUUGAAUGAAUUGCAUCUGAGCAUGAACCAAGAAUUGCAUCGAAUACUACAUGAUCUUGGCGAUAGCAAGUCGUGUAUUCAUGAUUAGGUUUGGAUUUGUCUUUGUCGAUAAUGAAUUUUGUGGUAGGAUCAGUCACCCAUGUGAUGUAAUCUUCCAGACCUAGUCCAAUAAAUGUGGACUGCACUUGUCGCCUCCAUACAUGGAAGUUGUUGGUGAGUAAUUUGGUAGGAAAGUGACUUGAGGCGGUGAUUUGUAUUUGGGAUGAUUGUGUCAUGGUGAUGUUGAUGAAAAGGAUUAGAGGAGAAAGGCAAGAUGAUCGAUUGACUCUUUAGAGUGUGUGUGCUCUGAUACGAUAUGAGAUUUGAGAAUCAAUGGGCUCGAAUGAAUAAUUUCAUUUACAAAGAUCGAUACAUAUAUAGAUGGUAACGAGAGUUAAAGAGCUAUACAUGGAAUUUACUAAGAAUAGAUUGCAAUUACAUACAAAUAGAAGAGAUUAUUGUAGAUUAGUCAUGAAGAUGUGUACGAUGUUAUAGUUAGAUUGCUUAUUUGCAAUCCAUGUUAGCUAAGUAUGUCAUGUUGAAUACAAAUUGUAUUAAAACAUUAAAGUUCCAACCAUUAUAUGUUGAAGAAGAAGCAAAUACGCCUUAGUCACACCCAUUCUAAAUGAUAUGGAUGUUAUGGUUGUCGUUUCUAUGCAACCAAAUCGUGAUUCCAAGUUGCAGUUGUCUUACCAAUAUAUCAUGUUAGGAAAAGAUGACAUAGCAUGAAAUAUUGUAUGUUACAACAAAAAGAUAUAUCUUAUAGAUGUCUUGCACAUGGGUUAUUCCUUUUUAAGCACUUAUAUAAAAAUAAUAUCACGUAUGUAUGAUAUCUAUUUUGAGAGAUUUUUAGCAAGCAACUCUUUGUCUAUUAUUGUUAUUGGAUAGAAAAAGUAUCAUCUUCGUUGGGAAGAUUUUACUAGGAUUAGAUUCAUAAUAGUUUGUCAAAGAUUUUACUAUUAUGUAUUUAUAAACCCAUGAAGUUUUCUAUUAAAUAAAUAAAUAAAUAACCAUUCACCAUUUAUAUCUUUUUGGAAUAGAGUUUGUUAAAUUCUAAUAUAAAUAAAAAGAGUAUUUAUUUAGAUUCACACAUUACAAAAUUACAAACUCCAAGCAUAAAUCCGAAACUUAUUUUUAAACUUCUUCAUUUAUAUUACAAGUUUUAUUCUUUUUUCCCAACCCACUUGGGGUUUCGAAACCCUAAAAAAGUUCUAUCCAUGGAAGUUCAUAUUUAUUUCUUAUCUUAAUGAAUUUAAGGUCUAAAUCAAUAAAUGGCAAUGUAGAAUUAACCGCAUAUAUUAAGUUAUUUUUGGAAGCUUUCCAACACAACACAGAAAGGAAAUGAUGAGAAUUUAUGGUACCAAAUAACAAAAUAAUCCCGGUUCCUAUAAAAAUUUAUUAAAGCUCUACUCAUGAUUUCAUAAUCUCCUCUAAUAUGAGGGUUACGUUAUUGUAAUAAUAACUAUGAUAAUGUAAAAGCCAUAACAUAAAUCGUCUUAAUUUAAGAAAUAAUAUAAAUCCCAAGAUAUUGUUUUUAAAAUAAAAAGGAAAAAAGUGGGAGUCCAUUAGAAGGAGCCAAGCUGAUUAUUUGAGCCAAGAGAGCACCGAUUUGUUAUCCUUCCACUGUUCGAAGCGAGAGGUUAUCGCAGCUCUGUGAAGCCAGCCUAACGCAUUGCCCUCUGCUCUAGGAACCAAGAAGCCCAAGCCUUCGCUCAAGCCACUUGAUCCAACUCCGAACUUGGAACGGGCAAACCAGAUUUUGCAACAGCUUUGACCCAACCAAACAAGGCUCGAUCUCAGUCCAUCCCACUUUAGAGCCCUCACUUGAGUCACAAGCUCGC